GUAGGUGGCAGAUCAAGUCUGGAGUAAAAGGUAUGGGCUCAACCCGUACUUGCUCUGGAAACUGAUCAGCUAGAGAACAGAAGAGGACGGCGGAACUCCAUGUGUAGCGGUAAAAUGCGUAGAUAUAUGGAAGAACACCGGUGGCGAAGGCGGCCGUCUGGUCUGGAUUCUGACACUGAAGCACGAAAGCGUGGGGAGCAAA
rnacentral:rRNA from 13 species